CUCGACGACUGGCUCAUUCUGGCCCCGGUCACUAUCUCACAAAGCCCUUCUCCUCAGCCAUUUGGAAUGCCUGGGGCACAAGGUGAACUUUGCCAAGAGCGAGUUUCCCAGCCAGCGAGUCUCGUAACUGAGAACAGUAUUUGACUUGGCUCAAAUGAAAGUGAAAGUCACAACAGACUGCGCCCUGAGCAUACGAUGGCUCACUGCCUCUUUCAAGGCUGGUGCCUCUCAUACACUCAAGAGGUUUCAGAAAAUGCUAGGCCUCAUGGCUGCAGUAUCUCCAGUGCUAUGGUUGGGCCUGCUGCAAUUGUGCCCCCUCCAGCACUGGCUGAAACCGCGGGUUCCAUCCCACGCGUGGCGUCAUGGAUACCUGAUUAUCAGGGAAGUUCCCCUUGAAAUGGUCUACAGGAGGAAGGUGGUUUCGACAGAUGCUUCCAAAACAGGUUGGGGGGGAGCUCUGUGCAAAGGGAAACCAACUUUCGGCCACUGGUCGACAGCGGAAAGCAGUCUACACAUCUACUGCCUCGAAAUGUUGGCAGUAUGGUGGGCCUGUCAAACCUUCCUACCUGACCUCAGAGGACAUUAUGUCUUGGUCCAUUCGGACAGCAUGACGGUGGUGUCUUACAUAAAUCUCCAGGGGGGACUGUCCUCGAAGCAGCUCCUUGUACUAGUAGAGCACCUCUUGGAAUGGGCCCAGCUAAACCUGCACUCACUGAGAGCAGCACACGUUCCGGGCAUAUUGAACCGUGGAGCGGAUAUGUUGUCACAAAGCAAGGUCCCCUCAAAGGAGUGGAUGCUUCAUCUGCAGACAGUUCAGAAAAUUUGGGAAGUCUUCGGCAGGGCGGAAGUAGACCUCUUCACCUCAGAAGACAAUUCUCACUGCCCAAACUAUUUUUCUAAGGACAAGGAUGUGUUGGCCCAGAGCUGGCCCAGCUUUUCCCCCGGUUGCCCUGAUUCCACAGGUAAUCAGGCAGAUCAGGGAACAGAAACGCAAAGUGCUUUUGGUGGCCCCGCUCUGGAGAAACCAGCAUUGGUUGGCAGAGCUGUCACAUCUAAUAAUAGCAGCCCCGUGACCUAUUCCCCUGAGGCGAGAUCUCCUCUCCCAGGCGAACAGGAUGAUAUGGCACCCCAGGCAGGGCUGUGGGCCCUGCACCUGUGGCCACUCGAAAGGACCCUGUCAGUCUCCAGGAGUGUGAAUUGAACACCAUUUCUCAGGCUAGAGCUCAGACGACAAGAUGCCUCUACACCCUUAAAUGGUUAGUGUUCUCUGCCUGGUGCUCAAACCACGGCGAGGACCCGCUCACUUGUGACAUAUCGGUGAUACUGUCCUUCCUGCUGGAGCUGUUGGACAAGGGACGCUCCCCGUCCAUGCUCAAGGUCUAUGUGGCGGCAAUAGCUGCUUCUCAUGCCCCUAUAACGGGCCAAUCGGUCGGCAG
ensembl:lncRNA